CCUACGGGAGGCAGCAGUAGGGAAUAUUGCUCAAUGGGGGAAACCCUGAAGCAGCAACGCCGCGUGGAGGAUGAAGGUUUUAGGAUUGUAAACUCCUUUUGUUAGAGAAGAUUAUGACGGUAUCUAACGAAUAAGCACCGGCUAACUCCGUGCCAGCAGCCGCGGUAAUACGGGGGGUGCAAGCGUUACUCGGAAUCACUGGGCGAAAAGAGUGCGUAGGCGGGGUAAUAAGUCAGUGGUAAAAUCCGUUAGCUAAACUACAGAACGGCAUUGAAAAUGGUUAUUUUGAGGGGGGGAAGAGUAAGGGGAAUUCUUGGGGGAGGGGUGAAAUGCGUA
rnacentral:rRNA from 1 species